UACGUAGGGGGCAAGCGUUGUCCGGAUUUAUUGGGCGUAAAGAGCGUGUAGGCGGCCAGGUAGGUCUGCUGUGAAAACUCGAGGCUCAACCUCGAGAUGUCGGCGGAAACCAUCUGGCUAGAGUCCGGAAGAGGAGAAUGGAAUUCCCGGUGUAGCGGUGAAAUGCGCAGAUAUCGGGAGGAACACCGGUGGCGAAGGCGGAUCUCUGGGCCUUACCUGACGCUGAGGCGCGAAAGCUAGGGGAGCGAACAGG
rnacentral:rRNA from 1 species